AUGGCUCAGGCUCCUUCCAAGGUAGAAGACGGUGCUACCAUGAGCGCUGCACCAUCCAAAUCAAUAAGCCCCAAAGAUUUGAUAUCCACGCUCCCAACAAGUAGUGAUGACUGGUGCUCGGGGCCGCUCGUUCUGUACAAGAACUACUGGCUGAGGUCCACGGUGCUGGAGCGGAUCCUGCUGGCCCAGGCCACCAUCAAGCCCCGGGACGACGACAUCAUCCUCGCCACACAGCCCAAAAGCGGCACCACCUGGCUCAAGGCCCUCGCCUUCGCCAUCACCAACCGAGGCCGCUACGGCUUCGGCGACCACCCCCUCCUCACCCACCACCCUCACCAGCUCGUGCUGAGCAUCGAGUUCCACGGCCCGGGCGGGGACCAUACCGACCUCAAUGCACUUGCCUCUCCUCGCCUUCUCUCCACGCACAUUCCCAUGUCGCUGCUCCCGCCGGAGAUGAGCCCAUCCAGCGGCCGUCGCGUCGUGUACCUCUGCCGAGACCCCAAGGACACGUUCGUGUCUCGGUGGCACUUCGACAACAAGAUCUUCCACGGUUCCACCAUGGAGCUGGACAAAGCCUACGACUUGUUCUGCCGGGGGCUCUCGCCUUACGGGCCUUUCUGGGAGCACUACCUGGAGUACUGGAAGGCCUUGGCUACGCCGAACAAGGUUCUUUUCUUGAAGUACGAAGAGAUCAAGGAAGACUCUGUGAGAGUCGUGCAAAAGCUUGCAGCGUUCCUCCGUGUCCCUUUCAGCCAGGAGGAGGAAAGCUCUGGUGUCCCGGAAGAGGUGGCGAGGCUCUGCAGCUUUGAGACACUGACGAGCCUACAGGUUAACCAGGUAAGUGUUGUCAAUGAUCACGGAGAUCACAGGUUUCCUGCUAAUUCAGCCUUCUUUAGAAAAGGACAAGUUGGGGACUGGGCGAACCACAUGAGCCGAGAGAUGGGGGAAAACAUGGAUCAGAUCACCAAAGACAGGCUCAAGGGAUCUGGACUCGCCUUCUGA
rnacentral:rRNA from 1 species